rnacentral:sRNA from 1 species
CGUUACCGACCCUACCGCCUGCCCACUACCCGGCCACGGUACCAAUCCAAUCGCCUCGGGCUCCCCCGACGU